rnacentral:rRNA from 1 species
CGGAGGGAGCUAGCGUUGUUCGGAAUUACUGGGCGUAAAGCGCACGUAGGCGGUUCGUUGUGUCGGUGGUGAAAGCCCCGGGCUUAACCUGGGAAUGGCCAUGGAAACUGGCGAACUGGAGUGUGGCAGAGGGGGUGGAAUUCCGCGUGUAGCAGUGAAAUGCGUAGAGAUGCGGAGGAACACCGAUGGCGAAGGCAGCCCCCUGGGCUAGCACUGACGCUCAGGCACGAAAGCGUGGGGAGCAAACAGGAUUAGAUACCCUGGUAGUCCACGCCCUAAACCAUGUCAACUGGGUGUUCGGGAAGCGAUUUCUGAGUACCGUAGCUAACGCGUGAAGUUGACCGCCUGGGGAGUACGGCCGCAAGGUUA